UACGGAGGGUGCAAGCGUUAUCCGGAUUUACUGGGUUUAAAGGGUGCGUAGGCGGGCCCUUAAGUCAGUGGUGAAAGCUCCGAGCUUAACUCGGAAACUGCCAUUGAUACUAUAGGUCUUGAAUUCGGUCGAGGUUGGUGGAAUGUGUCGUGUAGCGGUGAAAUGCUUAGAUAUGACACAGAACACCGAUUGCGAAGGCAGCUAGCUAGACCGACAUUGACGCUGAGGCACGAAAGCGUGGGGAUCAAACAGG
rnacentral:rRNA from 1 species